GACCCAGUGGUGCAAUGGUCAGCACACCUACACAAUUUAUUCUUUCUCAUACUUGUUCUGCAGGAGAUCCCCGUUCAACUCGGGGCUGGGUCA